rnacentral:rRNA from 1 species
UACGUAGGGGGCAAGCGUUGUCCGGAUUUAUUGGGCAUAAAGAGCGUGUAGGCGGCCUGAAAGGUCAGCUGUGAAAACUCGAGGCUCAACCUCGAGACGUCGGCGGAAACCAUCUGGCUAGAGUCCGGAAGAGGAGAGUGGAAUUCCUGGUGUAGCGGUGAAAUGCGCAGAUAUCAGGAAGAACACCCGUGGCGAAGGCGGCUCUCUGGGACGGUACUGACGCUGAGACGCGAAAGCGUGGGGAGCGAACAGG